AGUGAACGCCGGCGGCGUGCUUAACACAUGCAAGUCGAACGAGAACGGAAUAUAGCUUGCUAUAUUUGUCAGCUAAGUGGCGCACGGGUGAGUAAUGUAUAGAUAACCUGCCCUUAAGAAAGGAAUAACAGUUGGAAACGACUGCUAAUGCCCUAUAUGCCUUUAAUACAUAAGUAUGCAAGGGAAGCGCAUUAGUGCUUAAGGAUGGGUCUGUAUGGUAUCAGCUUGUUGGUGAGGUAAUGGCUCACCAAGGCUAUGACGCCUAACUGGUUUGAGAGGAUGAUCAGUCACACUGGAACUGAGACACGGUCCAGACUCCUACGGGAGGCAGCAGUGGGGAAUAUUGCACAAUGGACGAAAGUCUGAUGCAGCAACGCCGCGUGGAGGAUGACACAUUUCGGUGCGUAAACUCCUUUUAUAUAGGAAGAUAAUGACGGUACUAUAUGAAUAAGCACCGGCUAACUCCGUGCCAGCCGCCGCCGUAA
rnacentral:rRNA from 1 species